GGGCAGCCAUCUUCCGCCCGGCCAUCGGGCCGCGGGCGCUCGGAACCGACCUGGGAGCUGGCGGGACCGUCCUCCCCCGCCACGCCCUCCCAUCGGGCUUUGGGCGCCGGACUCUGGCCACCGCUCGGCACCUGCCUCCGCCUCGCCUUGGGGUAUAGGAGUCCUGUACCGACCCCUGGCUUGCCCAGAGGACAGGUUCUCGCCCGGGCCAGAAGCAAACUGCGGCGAAAUCGAGACAACAGAACUCAGAGUCACUCUGUCACCCAGGCUGGAGUGCAGUGGCACCAUCACAGCUCCCUGCAGCCUUGACUUACAGGGCUCCAGUGAUCCUCCACCCUCAGCCUCCUGAGUAUCUGAGACCACAGGUGCAAGCCACCAUGCCCAGUUGUAGCAAGGAAACCAAAAGGUAUAAACAUUCACUGAUUGAAAAACAAUGUCAUAAAGUCAUCCCAGUAUCUGUGAGGAGUUGGUUCCAGGACCCCUGAGGACACCAAAAUCCUCAGAUGCUCAAGUCCCUGAUAAAAAAAUAAAAGCAGUGGUGCCCUCGGGUUCAAAAACCUGAACGGUGGUCUUCAGUUGUUCCCCCAAGCUCCUCUAUCAGAGGCCCAGACACUCCAAGAGGCUGGGAAGAGGCAAGUGGCUUUCCCUGACUGGCAUCAGACUCCUGGAUGGCUGUGUUUCUGCAUACUCCACCAUCAACAAUCAGAAGGGCACUGCUUUCUUCAAGAAGGGGACCUUGCAAAGAACUGUCUCAGAUGGACUAUCUUUGAGUUCAUCUUGUUCUGAAUGUGAGUCUGAGUCUUUGUUUCCAGAUGACACAGUGCUGUCUGAGUCCUCUGAAUCACCUGCCUCAGAGCUGCAGCAAAGUUUCUGCUGCCCAGAAACUGAAUGGGCUGCUUGUAAUGCAGAUUCUUCCUCCUGGACAAGAAGUGCUGCUGCUUCUAGUUCUUCCAGUUCUAACCCCAACUGGGCCUUUGUAAGGGAGACUUCCUUUAAGGCUUCUGCAAGAGCUGCCAACGUUUUGGAUUUGACUUUCUGAGUCCACACACAGUAGUAUGAGAUGUAGAGAUCAUUCAGUAUGUAUGCUGGGUCGUUUUCCUGAAAAAUUUUGUGAAUAUCCAGGAGACACUUUAAAACUGCACUUUUACUUAAUUGCAGUAUCUUUAUAGUCUCCCCGUAGGCCUUCAUCGCCAGUUUGAAAUGGCGAUAGAGCAGGUAACACAAUACCCUUCUUCCAAAAGACACCAUGAUAUCAUGAACAUUAGUCCAAGUCUCAAACCAGCAUAGUAUUGGACUCAAGUUUCGUGAUAUUCCAUGCAGAUUCAACGUUCUUGUCUCCUUCAGUGACACGGGUUUCUUAGCAAUAUGCCAGAAGGAUAUCAAUCGAACUGUAGUACACUUGACGACAGGCUCUGUUGUCUAGCAGAUAAGAUUUAUUGACAAAUUCUUGUAGCUGAUAUUUCUCUUCUUCAGAAAAAGACACUAAUGCAGCAUGAUUUUCUUGCUUCUGACUCUUUUCCAAAAAGGCCGUCAUUUUUUAAUAUUUGUCAGUCCACCAAGGAUUAUACUUCAAAAUCUGUUCAACUGCCUCAUCUUCAAAAAAGUCAGCUAGAUAAUGAUCAGGAUCAAACUUGGCCAGCUCGGCGGCCAGGUGCUUUUGUUUUCGUUCUGCUGCAGGGAUGAAAUCUGGAUCCUUAAUAACAUCACUCAAUUCAUCCUGUAACUGCUGAAACACUCCUGAUCGUAAGUUUCCAAACCCAUAGUGGCAUGAGGAUUCAAAGCACUUUCUGUUACCUCUUCAUAGGGUGUCUGCUCAAUUUCCCAAUCAAACUCUUCAUCGUCAACUACUUCCUCAGGAAUUUCAGAAUCACCUAUUGCUUCCACAAGUGGUUUUGCUGUCCCGGAUUUUCCUGGUGCCAGAAGAGCAACACAUGUUCAGCCCCUCAAAAUGCUGGCCAGGGGUUUCUCUGGGCAGGCGAGUGGUAAAAAUUCCUUUAUCUGCAUCAUAGGACCCUUGCUCGCUUCCGUAUCCAUAUUCUACAAUUCUUCCAGGAGGGGUUAAUCUGAGAAAGUACGGCUUGGCAUAGUAGUCUAGGCCGACCCCUCGAAGUAGACGUUGAACUCGGAGGCCGGGGCAUAGGGCACGCGGAUGGCGAUGGUCAGGAAAUCCGGCUCCUGGCUGAGGCUGAACGCCGGGGUCAGCAUCGCGGCACCAGACGCAGGGGCCAGCGCGGCUCGCCCUCGCUGCCGCGGCGGUCCCACCAAGCAACUCUCUCCAAUUUUACCUUUUUAAAAUAAAAGAUGUCUGGGCCAGGCGCAGUGGCUCACGCUUGUAAUCCCAGCACUUUGGGAAGCCGAGGCGGGUGGAUCCUGACCUGAGGUCAGGAGUUCAAGAUCAGCCCCGCCGACAUGACGAAACUCCGUCUCUACUAAAAAUACAAACAUCAGCCGGACGUGGUGGUGGGCGCCUGUAAUCCCCACUACUCGGGAGGCUGAGGCAGGAGAAUCACUUGAACCCGGGAGGCAGAGGUUGCAAUGAGCCGAGAUCAUGCCACUGUACUCCAGCCUGGGUGACAGAGUGAGACUCUGUCUCAAAAAAAAAAAAAAAAAAAAAAAAAAAAGUCUGUCUUCCAGGACACAGAAGCCUCCUAUACACACAUUUUGGCACUUGAUUAUGUUAUGUCUUUUACAGUUCUCUGCAUGUUUCUUGCAGGUAAGUCUUGAUUCUUCAAUUACAUAUUAAAUUUCUAUUGAGGAUAUAUAUCUAGCUUUCAUCUUUCAGAGUACCUAGCAUAGGACUUGGCACCAAGUAGCCCAUAGUAAACAGUUAUUCAACCAUAAUGUAUGAUUUUCUUUUCUACUUUUCACUGGUAUGUUUUUGUUUAAAAAGGGUAAACCACCAGGGAUGGAAAUGUCCUUGCUAUGUUAUCCUUCUUCUCUAAUUAGCAACCACCCUUCACAAUCUGCCACAUUACAUUUAAAAAGGAUUUUCAAAUUAGACAUUUAUGCCUGGGCAUUAACCAGGGACUGAUGAAUCAGUGCCAUCAGCAGAACACUGCCCUGACUGGCAGACAUGGCACCAUUGUCAAGACUUGUAAUUUACUCCUGGCUUUUCAAAUAGUCAGUGUGUAACUCCAGGCAAGGUUUAAUUAUCUCCUGUUAAAAUGGGAAUAAUAUGACCCACCCCCACUUUGCUUCCCAUGGGUAUCAUGAGAAUUAAUUAAUUAUUGAAUAAGAAUAUAUGUCUAUAAAAUAUUUUAUAGUUCAUUAGAGGUAAACAAAUGCAAACGUAAGAUAUUGUUCAAUGUAUUAUGAAUGUUCAUUGUUGCUGUAUUUAGUACAAAGUACCUGUAUUAUAUCAACAGUGGUAGUACACAAAAUAAUGAAUACAUGUUGGGUCAGCACCUCCUCCAAUUACCACUUGCAAACAAGUCCUGGAUGGCCAGAACUAAUUGGAAGGUUGAGACAAAAAUUAUAUCUCGCACACUAAAGAAGGGGAGAUUGAUACAGCGCGCUCACCUAAAUUUCGUAGUGCCUUCAUGAACUCUUCAAAAGCUUCAAAUCUAGGCUAGGCUACAGGAAGAACAGCAGCAACUGAAGACUGGCACCUUUUCUGGAACCUCAGCAGCACCUUCCUUGUUUCGUAAGAUUUCGAAGAAGCAUAUCAAAAUUCUUCCACCCAUUCCUUCACAGUAUAAUAGGAGAAAACAUCUAUCCUCCGUUGACACCUGGAAGAAUGAGAUUCCAACUCACUCCAGGACAUGGCCAGAAAAAUUCAACAAAAGAUUUGCUAAAUCCUCUGCACUAUUAUCUAGACCAGGAUUUCUCAACCUCAGCUCUGUGGACAUUUGGGCCAGAUAAUUCUUUGUUACCAGAGGCUGUCCUGUACAUCAUCAGGUGUUUAGCAGCAUUCCUGGCCUCAACCAAAUGGAUGCCAGUAGCACCUCCCCCACCCACUUGUGACAGCCAAAGAUAUCUCCAGACAUUGCCAAAUGUCCCCUGUUAUGGAGAAUCAUCCUCAGUUGAGAAUCACUGGUUUAGGCAAUGAUCAAAGUGGGGCAACUAAAUCAAAAGGCACUGCAAUCUUAAGUUGAUCAAGCAUCCUUCUUUGAAAUCACUCAGCACUUUCAUAUAUUGCAUUUAUAUCUUAGGUAUUCAUAUUCUAACAAUUCAGCCAAUGUUUUUUGAGUUCGCAAUGGACAAGGUACAAGAUCAAGUAAGUAAUUCUGUGUAUCCAUAAAACAGAAAUGGAUAUGGUAUGUCCCAGUUCUCCACAGUAGGCAUUUAUGUUAUUCCCAUCCCAAUAUUUAGCCCUGAUCAGGGUUGUCAAACAUUGCAUGGGACAUACUUAUCCUAAAAAAUUAUUCAUUAUUUAUCUGAAAUUGAAAUUUAACUGGAUGUCCUAUGUGUGUGCAUGUGUAUGUUUGUUUGUUUGUUUCUUUUUCUAAAUCUGAUUACCCUAUCCUAACAGACUCAAGGUUUUUUCCCUGUUCCACAAACUUUAUGACUUGACUUCAUUAAAAAUAAUAAAGAGGAAUAACUGCAAAGGCUUUAAAAAUGCUGUUAGAAUGAGUAGCACAACUGAAUUUGAGGAUACAUUUUCUUUGAAGGAUGUCUAUUUUCCUACUGAAAAUAGUGGCAAACUCCUUAGAACUCAUUCAAAGCCUGAUGGGAUUCAUUGCCUGAUUUAUUUAAAAACACUUCUGAUGCUCACAGACUAUUUAUCAUUUACACAGCAAAUGAUGUUCUUCUAGUAUUCUUGUUGGGUGAGUUAGCAUUGUGGAAGGACAUAGAGGAGAAUCAGACACAAACUUCUUAUAACCUCAUAAACAGGAAGAAAGGGAGCAGAAGCAUAGACUGACUUUACUUUCACUCAGCUUACCUUCCUAGUUCUCCAGGUGUGGUCCUCAGAAGAGGAAUAUCAUGUGACCUGGGAACUUGCUAGAAAUGCACAUCCUUGGGACCCACCCCGGACCUACUGAAUCAGAAACUCUGAGAGUGGGUCCUAGCAACCAGUGUUUUCACAGGCCUUCCAGGUGAUUCUUCCGCAUGUUCGAGUUUGAGAACAACUGCUUUAGAGCCCUGGUUCUUGACCCUGGCUACAGGGUAAAACACCUGGGGAGUUUUUAAAAUACUGAUGCAUGGGGUCCAUUCCAAGGGAGUCUGAUAUAAUUACUAUGGGGUGCAGCCCAGGCGUAAACAUUUUUUAAAAACUCCUCAACCAGAAUAACGGCUCUACAGAAAUUUUAUCAAAUGCCAAAGAAAGAGUUCCUUAUUUUGCAACUAUAGUGCUUUCUACUCUGGCCCUAAUCAACUUUCAUAAAGGCAGAAUGGACAGACAUUACGUGUUUUAAUUUGAAGACUACCAAAAGGCCGGCCAUUAAACUAGGUAUAUGGGCUCGUCCUCAAAUCCCUAAAUCUACUCCUUAGGACCUACUAUAGCCAGUGUCAUAUAAUAGAAAAGUCACUUAUUGUCCACCAGACCCUGCCCUAAUAUUUGAUAACCUCUUGGGGCCUCAUUUUCUUGUGUCUACACUGGGGAUGAUAUUAACUCUUCACAGGAUUUGGGGAAUUAUAAAGAAAGACCAUGUAGUAAAGGCAGGAAGAUCAAUAAUCAAUAAUCACAUCAGAACCUGAAGGGACUUCGUACCAUUGAAGUGAGGCAGAGGAGAGAGAAAUUUAGAAGGACAAAUUCACAAAUUUCAAUGUGUUUCUAUAAUAACUACUUAAAUUAUUUUCUCUUUGAAUUGCCUCACUGUUGUGUGUGUAUGUCCCCACUCCCACCUGUCCCAUUAUUUUCCUGUUUUCACUUGUACCUUGGCAACCCAUCUGUGGUUUUGGCCAAGCUGUUUUAAUGGCAUUGAACCUGGUAGUUUUUUUAAAAGAGUGUGGUAGUAGUUAUAUAUGGCUCGAUAACUCCUGGGGCUACAACAAGGUUAAUGCGACAGUUUUUGUUGUUUAAAAAACAUGCUUGUCUGACAAGUCAAUCAUUUUAAGCCCCUUGUUCACUUCAGGAUGGUUGCUAAAGGCUUCUCUGUGAGCUAAAAGCUCUCGCUGUUAAGGGGCUGCCUGCCCUGACUGUAUGCAUUAAAUGGAACAGUUCUCUACAUGGUUUCUUACUACAGAUGCCUUGGGAUAUAUGGACACUGGCAUUACCUGCUGCAACAGGUCCUCUCCCAGGGUACUGCUGAGACCUAAGGGCUUAAAUGCUCACCAAACCAAGUGACCUUGGAGGGCUGGUCAUGGUGGGCAUCUGGGAGCUGGGAAAGAGCAUUGGAGAACUUCAUAGGGAAACCUAGUAGGCAAAAAUGAAAGAACCCAUAAGGGCCAUUGGCAUGAGCCAUAGCUAAAGGCCACUGGGUUAGCUCUCAAAGAAAACUGCAAGAUUGAAGCAUAAAUUCCUUCAUCAUGAACCAGAAGUCAUGGAGUGGAGCCAGGGGCAAGAAAGAGAAAGAUGAAGAGGUAGAACCACCAGGAUAAAGGUGCCAAGAAAAACAGUGAGAGCAACACUCAGGGAACCAGAGACAGGAACACAGCUGGGAACUAGGAGGAGAAACCACCACAGCUGGAGCGCAAAGUGGCCAGGUCAGAAAAGCCUCAUGGAAUCCUGGUUAACUGAAUGUUUCUAUUGACUGAGGCCACUGCUUAAGCCCUGUAUUCUUUUUUAUUUCAAUCCCCAUGGUUAGAAAAAUAGUCCUAAAAUGGGUUCAUACCCUUUCCUAUCCUGCAAGAUCUUAAACAUCACUAUCUUUUCCUGCAGUAGUUAAAAGCAUGGGCUUUGGAAUCAGAAACUGGGCACAAAUCUGAGCCCUGCUACUUAUUAACUGUGUAACAUUGGUCAAAUGAAUAAACUUCCUGGAGCCUCAGUUUCCUUGCCUGUAAAAUGUGAGUAACAAUACCAACUUAUUUUCAGGUUGUGAGCAUUUCUCCAUAAUAAUCCACAUAAAACACUUACCAGAGCCCUUGGCAUACUGUGUGAGCAUGUAAUAAUGUUAGCUGUCAUUCCAAGACAACAUGUUGGAAUAAUCUACUUUUUCCAUCACUAUAUAUCUCAUUUUCCUUCUUUUUCUUCUCCCUCAAACCUGUCCCCAUUCCAACAGAUGUUUUGGCCUGUGUUCCUAGCCUCCAGUGACAGCAGAAAGCCUGUUAGAUUUCCUGCCUUUGUUUCCCAAAAUUUGAGCCCCAAGAAACUGGGACAAGAUAUUUUCCUGAGACAAGAUAUCUCAGGAAGGGGAAUGAGUGGAGCUUCUUUUCACCCCACACUAGAAAGCCAUUCUGUUUAGAAAAAGGAGACGGAAGGGAAAGAAAAGGGUGCUAUACCAGUUUUCCAGUAUCACCGUCAGGGAGAAAGCAAGGCCGGAGAGUAUCUGGGCAGAUGUAACUAUAAGCAGCCUAAUAAAGGUUCCCAAGUCCAAACCAUGAAUCCAAACGGCAGAGCUGCCAGACAUGAAAGGCCUUGCUGCCCUUCCACCCCACAAUACUUCACCUCUGGAAGCCUUGACAAUUCCAGGGAGUAUUUGCAAAACCCUGCCCCCACCCAAAAUUUUUAAAAUACUGCAUAUGAGUGAGUAAAAUGAUGCCGAGAUUUUUAAAAGGACAAGCUUACCAUCAGAUAGGUAGAAUGAGUAGUAGUGGCAGCGGUGGUGGUAGUGAUAUAGAGAUAAAAGAGUUAAGUGGAGUUACUGAAAUGUGUAGUUAUAUUUCUCACACUCUGGUGUUUGUGGAUUUGUGGGCUGAGAUUCUUAUCAAAUUCCGGAACUUGCAAUGUCUCAAGGUAAUUGUUUAAAAUAUUAAUUGUUUUACUCACACUGCAAAUGUUGAUAUAGAUGCUGGGGUGGAGGUGGGGCAAUAGGCCAGAAUAAGCCCAAGAAUACCUUGGAAUUUGCUGAAUUUCUUUCUUUUUGCAUAAUCUUAUUCACACAUUAACAUAAUAUGAACCACUCUGGCUCCAUGAGCAGCACAGAAGAGACUUUCUGCAAAUGUGAUUAUUAGGGCAAAAGUUAGGAGAUUUUUUGCCCCCAGCUUUUCUCCUCUCCUAAAAUCUUUUUUUUUUUUUCAUUUCUUUGUCAGUGUCUUUAAUUUUUUUAGCUGCAUUUAAAAGGCUUUCUAUUAUUUCUGCAUGAGUAAGAGCAUGUGUCAUGUCAGCCUCCUUGUCAGCUUCUGUUUCACUUUCAUUAAAUUUGUUGAUUGAGUGUAAAGAAGGAGGCACUGUCAUCAUUUCCAGAUUUCAUAGCUGUAGGUUAGAUCUCUCUCGGAGCAAUGCCAUGAUUACUGCUGCAAUUUUGUAAUGGAGCCCUGGAGAGACAGGGAUGAAACCAGGGAAGGCUCCUUAUCCCUUUCGUGGGUCCAGGGAGGCAGAAAGAGAGGGGAGGAGGAUGUUUCUGUUUCACCUCUAUUCAUUCAUUCAUUCAUUUGCUUCACAAAUAUUGAGCACCUCCUGAGUGACAGACACUGAUUUGGGUGCUGGAAAGCAUAAGCAGCCCUGGUGCCUGUCCUCACAGAGCCUAUGGUCUGCUGGUGAGACGGACUUAAUCAGAUAAACACACUAAUGAAUGUAUAGUUGCACCAACAGAUCCUCAUUUAAUUGAGCUGGACUAGGACCUAGGCAUCAGUAUUUUUUUUAUAAGCUUCAUAGGUAACUCUGCCAGGCCUGGGAAUCACUGGGCUAGACCAUGCAAGUUCUAAUCAUAUAGGCUCUACUCAAGCAUUAAGCAUUUUGAUUUUAUCUUUCAAGCUGUGGUGAAAACGUUACUGAAGAGAGGUGAUAUAGUAAGAUGCUCACGGUUUUUAAAAUUAAGCUUUUUUAUUUUGAAAUAAUUAUAGACUCAUAUGCAGUUGUAAGAAAUAAUACAGGGGAAUCCCAUAUAUCCUUUAUCCAGUUUCCCCAAUGGUAACAUCUUGCAAAACUAUGGUACAAUAUCACAACCAGGAUAUUGACCUUGGUGCAGUCAAGAUAAAGCAUUUUCAACACCACAUGAAUCCCUCCUGUUGUCCUUGGAUAGCCCUCCCCACUUUACUCCUGGUGACCACUAAUAUGUUCUCCAUUUCUAUAAUCUUGUCUUUUCAACAGUUAUAUAAGUGGAAUCAUAUAGUAUAGAACCUCAUGGGAUUGGCUGUUUUCUCUCAGCAUCAUUUUCUGGACAUUCAUUCAGGUUGUUUCACGUGUCAAUAGUUUGUUCCUUUUUAGAGGGCUGACUAGCGGUGUUCCAUGUAUAGGGGUGCCAUAGUUUGUUUAACCAUUCACAUGUUGAAGGACAUCUGGGUCUGCUCCAAUGUUCAGAGAUUUUAAAUAGAGCUGCUAUACACAUUUGUGUAUAGGUUUUUGUGUGAACAUGAAGUCUUUGUUUCUCUGGGAUACAUGCCCAAGUGUGCAAUUGCUGAGUUAUAUGAUAGUUGCAUGUAGAAACUAUCAUGCAUAAAGAAACUGUCAAACUAUUUCCAGAGUAUCUGCACCAUUUUACAUUCUCAACAGUAAUGUACCAGUGAUCCAGUUUCUCCUCAUUCUCAUCAGAAUUUAAUGUUGCCACUGUUUUUUAUUUCAGCCAUUCUGAUAGGUAUGUGGUAAUUGCUUGUUGUGGUUUGCUUUGAGUUUCUCUAAUGGCCAACGAUGCUGAACAUCUUUUCAUGUGCUUAGUUGCCAUCUGUAUAUUACCUUUGGUGAAGUGUCUCUUCAUGUCUUUGGCCUAUUUUCUAAUUGGAUUAUUAGCCUUAAUGUUGAGUUUUGAGAGUUUACUUUUAUAUUCCAAAUACUAGUCCCUUUUGUCAAAUAUGGGGUUUGCAAUUUUUUUCCCACUCUCCAAUUUGUUUUUUAUCCUGUUUACAGGGUCUUUCACAGAGCAAAGUUUUUUAAUUGUGAUGCAGUCUAAUUUAUCAGCUUUUCCUUUUAUGGACCAUAUUUUUGGUGUCGAGUCUAAGUCGUCUUUGCUGAGUCCUACAUCAUGAAGAUUUUUUCUUACUAAAAUUUGAUAGUUUUAAAUGUUCUCUAUUUAAGUCCGUGAGUUAUUUUGAGUUAAUUUUUGCAUAAGGUAUAAAUCUUAGGUUGAGGCUCACUUUUUAAUCUUAAGGAUUGCUCAGCAUCAUUUAUUGAAAAGGCUAUCUUCCCUCCAUUGAAUUUCUUUUGUACCUGUGUCAAAACAUCAGUUGCAUAUAUUUGUGUGUAUCAAUUUCUGGGUCUUCUGUUCUGUUCAGUGGAUCUAUGUGUCUAUUUCUCUGCCAAUACCAUAUAGUUUUGACUAUAGUAGCUGUAUAAUAAGUCUUGAAACCCUUGAAACCAGGUAAGACUGGUCCCUUUCAUAUUAGCCUUCCUUUUCAAAAUUGUUUUAGCUAUUCUAGUUCCUUUGCUUUUCUGUAUACAUUGUAGAAUAGUGUUGUCUAUAUCUAUUUUUAAAACUUGCUGGAAUUUUUUUUUAAGAGACAGAGUCUUGCACUGUUGGCCAGGUUGGAGUACAGGGGUAUGAUCAUAGCUCACUACAGCACCAAACUCCUGGGCUCUAGCAAUCUUCCUGCCUCAGUCUCCCAAGUAGGUAGAACUACAUGCAACUGCCACUACAAUCGUAUUUAAAAGUAAAGUUAAAAAAAUUUUUUUUGAGAGAAGAUCUCACUCUGUUGACUAGUCUGGUCUUGAACACCUAGCCUCCAGCAAUCCUCUUGCCUCCCAAAGCACUGGAAUUGCAAGAGUGAGCUACCAGGCCCAACCAGUAUGUUAUGUGUGCAGUUUUUUGUAGAUAUUAUUUAUUAUGUUGAGGAAACUCCCCUCUAUUGCCAUUUUUCUGAUAGUUUUUAAGAUCAUUCAUGGGUGUUGAAGUUUGUCAGAGUCUUUCUGUAUCCAUUGAUUGUUAUGAUCAAGAAUUUUUUCUUUAGCCUGUUAAUACGAUGUAUUAAAUAGCUUCAUUUUCAACUACUGAGCCAGCCUGAAAUAAACCUCGCUUGGUCAUGAUAUAUUAUUACAUAUGCUGCUGAAUUCUAUUUUCUCUUUUACUGGUCUUUUGGCUGGAGAGAGUAGGCUUUUGUUGGGGCUUUACUUGUACGUGCACAUUGUUAUUUCUGGGUUGUCAGCCUCCUUCUCUCCAAGUCUGGGAUAUAUGGGACAAAAACAUAAUCCAGGGAGCCCACCACCUUGUUAGACUUUGAGUCCCUAGAUCCCUAGGUGGUCUGGCUUCUUUUUUUCACCUUUGAAAAUCUUAUGUUUGUUUUAUACAUAAUGUUGAGAGUUUUUCGUUGUUCUUAGUGGCAGAAGUAUAGAAAGAUACUCCAUCUUCUCAAAAAUAGAAGUUCAGAUUAUGUUUUGAAAGGCACUGUAGGCAGGCCAGGGAAGGCUUGUAAAAGGCUACUGCACUGGUCCAGGUGAGGGGAGUUAGUCUGGUAGAAGGCUGUUUCUUCCACCAUUCUCCCCUCACAUUCCACUGCCCCAUUUGCAUGGAGCUGGGGUUCUACUACCCCAGUAGGGCAGCAAGAGAGAAGGAGCAGGCAAUAUCUUGGAGCAUUACACCAUGAUAAAGGGACACCAAUACCCUCCAGAUGCUAGCUGUUUCUUUCUAGAGCUUUUAAACAUUCUCCUUCAGCAGAAGAAAUAAGUCACUCCUGAAAGCAUCCUAACAAUGUGCAUUUCUCCAAAGUUUCCUUAACACUUCACAUUUAACAUGACUCCAGGUAUAAGCAACAUUAAACAAGUCAUAUCUUAUGUUACAACUUGAGUGAAACUUUAAUGAUGCUGAAUUUGCUAAUUUGCUCUGGUAUAAUGUAUUUCCUGUUUAUAAUCCCUUUUGGCUAAUAGCACUAAUCAACAGAAAACACUGACAGACUGCACAAUGGCAACAGUAAUUCUGGACAGAGAUAGUUUUAUUAUCUACAGAUGAAUCCAUGUUUCUAAAACAUUAUUUACUAUAAUGUAAAAUAUGGGUUGGGCGUGGUGGCUCACACCUGUAAUCUCAGCACUUUGGGAGGCUGAGGCGGGCAGAUCACCUGAGGUCAGCAGUUCAAGCCUAGCCUGGCCAACAUGGUGAAACCCCAUCUCUACUAAAAAUACAAAAAUUAGCCAAGUGCAGUGGUGCAUGCUUGUAAUCCCAGCUACUUGGGGGGCUGAGGUAGGAGGAUUGAUUGAACCUGGGAGGCAGAGGUUGCAGUGAGCCGAGAUCAUACCACUGCACUCCAACCUGGGCAACAGAAGGAGACUCUAUCUCAAAAAAUAAAAAUAAAAAUAAAAAUAAAAUGUAGUAGAUAAAGGUCAUAAUUUCUAUGCACCAAAGCUUUUAUAGGAGGCCUGUAUUUUAGCAAUCAACCUGUCCUUAUUCUGUUCAAAUUCAAGGGCACUUGAAUCACUUUAGAUGGUGUCACCUACAUUGGGAAGCAAUCACAGUAUAGAUAUUUUUUCUUAUUAUGUUUGCAAAAUAAACUUCACAAAAUUGUCUA
rnacentral:lncRNA from 1 species